ACAUAUAAUAAGCUUUACACGCACUUUCAAAUAAUUACAUGAUUGUUUAUGUCACAUAUGAUAAGCUUUACAAACACAACAAGAAACUAUGUAUAUCUUAACCUCGGAAGGAGAAAAAUAAAUGCAUUUAGGUCACAUAUCGAAAGAUUUCGGUUUUACUAUCAUGCAUUUAGAAUCGAGUGUUGAGUGACAUUUCAGAAUUAUAAAUUUUUAGUUAAAAAUCUUCAACAUCCUCUGUUGUUGGUCUUGUAAUAGGGAUGGACCAUCUCC
rnacentral:lncRNA from 1 species